rnacentral:lncRNA from 1 species
CUUUGGAACGCUCCAGCCCUCUGAGCCCACCCAACCGCCCUGCCCCCGAGUCCGUGUAGCCAUGGCAGAGCCUAGUGGAGGGGCAGUGCCCAUGCAGGCAGCCAGCUCAGCUUCCCGGGCUCCCACAGCAGUCCUGCAGAUGCCUUGUGUGACAAGUGACUUGUUCUUCAGAUGCCUACUGUGUAGAGAAUGCCAGCCCUGGAAUCCUACAACCUGAUUCAGUCCUGCCACUCCUGAGAGGAAAAUCAGAACAAGUUAAAAUAUAGAAAAAUAAGUCAGGUGCGGUGGCACACGCCUAUAAUCCAAACACCGAGGCAGAAAGAUCCCAAGAUCCGGAUCCACCUGGACAAUUUAGCCCACUGUGUCUCGAAAUUUAAAAAAAGAAAGAAAAAGAAAGCAAAAAAGAGGGCACAAAAAGGCCCAGGGACACACCAGCACAUACAGCUGUGUGCAGCCAGCAAGGUACCAGCCCUGUCUGGCCGCCUGCCAGUGACUCUGAGGCCACUGCCUUCAUGAAAGUGCUCACCUGGGACGGUGGACAGAGGCCCUGCCUGAGCCCAGCACACUUUGGGAUGUCAGGGAUGCCCCCUCCCCACCCAGAGCUCAGGUACUAAUUGGAUGAGACUGAAGGGGAGAGGGACCUGAGCAGGAAGAGCUAGGGUCCAGAGCCGGGACUUUGUCUUUGCCUAUGGCAAGUGGAAGUGUCCAAGCUUAAACAGAGAAUGGUUUGCUCUCUUCCACUCUCACCCCCAGCCUCAAGAAACAACUGGUUGGGUGGGAUGAUGCAGGCCUGUAAUCUCCACUGCCCCCAGAGGCUGAGAGAGAAGGUCUGCAAGUUCAAGGCCAGCCUGGGAAAUUUAGCAACGUUCAGAGACUGUGCUUCAAAAUAAAAAUAAUAAACAGGGCUAAUGAUGUAGCUCAGUGUGAAGGCCUUGGGCUAGAUCCCUAGUCCUGAAAAAAGGAAGGAAGGAACUCACUUUGGAUUAGAAGGAAUAAGGACAGAGGGAAAUUGGAUUAAAUGUCCACAGACUGAGGAAUAAACAGUAAGAGAGGCCCACGGGCCCCACCCUGAAGCCCCUGAAGCUGCAGGAAGCAGAGAACAACUGGCUCAACACAUCGCUUUCUUUGAGGAGUCUGAGGCCCAGGGAGAAAAGUGACUCUCAGGAGUCACACAGCAAAGCAGUGGCAAUACUGAGACCCGGACCAAGAUCUCUUGCCUGCCUGUCAAGUGAAGUCCCUAAUAUUCCAUGCACGUGGCAUGGGGGGGGGCGCUGGAUAUUAAACCCAGG